rnacentral:rRNA from 1 species
ACGGGAGGCAGCAGCUAAGAAUAUUCCGCAAUGGGGGAAACCCUGACGGAGCGACGCCGCGUGGAUGAUGAAGGCCGGAAGGUUGUAAAAUCCUUUUAUGACUGAGGAAUAAGUAAGGUGAGAGAAACGCCUUAUGGUGACUGUAGGUUAUGAAUAAGCAACGGCUAAUUACGUGCCAGCAGCCGCGGUAACACGUAAGUUGCGAGCGUUGUUCGGAAUUAUUGAGCGUAAAGGGCAUGUAGGCGGUUUUGCAAGCUUGGUGUGAAGUCCCGGAGCUUAACUCCGGAAUUGCGUUGAGAACUGCAUAACUAGAGUCACUGAGGGGCAAUCAGAAUUCCAGGUGUAGGGGUGAAAUCUGUAGAUAUCUGGAAGAAUACCAAUGGCGAAGGCAGGUUACCAGCAGAUGACUGACGCUGAGGUGCGAAGGUGCGGGGAGCAAACAGGAUUAGAUACCCUGGUA